AACAGUGGAGAUUUUUCCUUUUUUUUGUUUGAUGUAGUGGAAACCAUGAAGACCCAUUUAGAAUCAUAAUUUAUAUGUCUUCACAACAUGCACAGGUCACAAAAGAAAAUAGAAAUGAGCAAUGAAAACAGGGCAUGUGCACAAGCUGUAAAAAAUGUAAGGAUUUCACUGCUUCUUAAUUGACAUGAGGAACCUCUUCCUCUCUGAUUCCUCCUACAAAGAAACCA
rnacentral:lncRNA from 1 species